rnacentral:rRNA from 1 species
GUAGGUGGCAAGCGUUGUCCGGAAUUAUUGGGCGUAAAGCGCGCGCAGGCGGUUCUUUAAGUCUGAUGUGAAAGCCCACGGGCUCAACCGUGGAGGGUCAUUGGAAACUGGAGAACUUGAGUACAGAAGAGGAAAGCGGAAUUCCACGUGUAGCAGUGAAAUGCGUAGAGAUGUGGAGGAACACCAGUGGCGAAGGCGGCUUUCUGGUCUGUAACUGACGCUGAGGCGCGAAAGCGUGGGGAACAAACAGGAUUAGAUACCCUGGUAGUCCACGCCGUAAACGAUGAGUGCUAAGUGUUAGGGGGUUUCCGCCCCUUAGUGCUGCAGCUAACGCAUUAAGCACUCCGCCUGGGGAGUACGGCCGCAAAGGCUG